rnacentral:rRNA from 1 species
UUGUAAGUGUUUUAGGGCGUUCGGUGGAUGCCUUGGUACACGGAGCCGAUGAAGGACGUUGUAGCCUGCGAUAAGCCUCGGGGAGUUGGCAUACGAGCUGUGAUCCGAGGGUGUCCGAAUGGGGGAACCUGCCUGGAGUUGUUUCUGGGUACCGUCAUCUGAAUGUAUAGGGUGAUUGGGGGUAACGCGGGGAAGUGAAACAUCUUAGUACCCGUAGGAAGAGAUAUUCUGUGAGUAGUGGCGAGCGAAAGCGGAUGAGGUUAAACCGGGUGUGUGUGAUAGCCGUCGGGCGUUGCAUAUUCGGGGUUGUGGGGCCUGCAGUGAUUCCCUCCGACGGGGGGUCGAGGAGUGAUAAAGGUGGCAGAUAGGUGAAUCAGUUGGGAAGCUGGACCGUAGACCGUGAUAGUCGGGUAGUUGAAAUCUGUUGCUCUUCUUUGUGGUGUUCCCGAGUAGCACGGGGCUCGUGAAAUCUCGUGUGAAUCUGCACAGACCACUGUGUAAACCUAAAUACUUCGUGUGACCGAUAGUGAAUGAGUACCGUGAGGGAAUGGUGAAAAGUACCCCGGGAGGGGAGUGAAAUAGUACCUGAAACCGGACGCUUACAAUCCGUCAGAGCCCUUUUUGUGGGGGUGAUGGCGUGCCUUUUGAAGAAUGAGCCUGCGAGUUAGGAUGUGUGGCGAGGUUAACCCGUGUGGGGUAGCCGUAGCGAAAGCGAGUCUGAAUAGGGCGGUUUGAGUUGCAUGUUCUAGACCCGAAGCGAAGUGAUCUAGCCAUGGGCAGGGUGAAGCACGUGUAAGAGCGUGUGGAGGCCCGAACCCACUUCAGUUGAAAAUGGAGGGGAUGACCUGUGGUUAGGGGUGAAAGGCCAAUCAAACUUCGUGAUAGCUGGUUCUCCCCGAAAUGCAUUUAGGUGCAGCGUUGCGUGUGCUUGCUGGUGGUAGAGCGACUGGAUGGUCGAUGGCCCUUAUACCGGGUACUGAGAUCAGCCAAACUCCGAAUGCUGGUUUAAGUUGAGCGUGGCAGUGAGACUGCGGGGGAUAAGCUCCGUAGUCGAGAGGGAAACAGCCCAGAUCAUCGGUUAAGGCCCCUAAGGGUGUGCUAAGUGGGAAAGGAUGUGGAGUUGCUGUGACAACCAGGAGGUUGGCUUAGAAGCAGCCAUCCUUGAAAGAGUGCGUAAUAGCUCACUGGUCAAGUGAUUCCGCGCCGACAAUGUAGCGGGGCUAAGUACACCGCCGAAACCGUGGCAACAAGUUUUUGUUGGGUAGGGGAGCGUCGUGCUCGAGAUGAAGCUGCCGGGUGACCGUGUGGUGGAUUGGGUGCGAGUGAGAAUGCAGGCAUGAGUAGCGAAUGACGGGUGAGAAUCCCGUCCUCCGAAUGACUAAGGGUUCCAGGGCCAGGUUCUUCCGCCCUGGGUUAGUCGGGUCCUAAGGCGAGGCCGACAGGCGUAGUCGAUGGGCAACCAGUUGUUAUUCUGGUACCGGCGAAGGACCGUCCAUGCUGAAGCGGGGGAUACUAACCAUCCUUGCUUGCUGUUGUACCCUUUCGGGGGUUGAUGGUAAGUGAGCGUGGGACCUGAUCUUGUGGUAGGCAAGCGUGUUAACAGGGGUGACGCAGAGUGGUAGCUUCCGCGUGGCUAAUGGCUUGCCACGUUUAACAGCGCAGCUCGUUCCUUAGGUAAAUCCGGGGAACAUGGUGAGUGAGGCUGGAUGAUGAGACCGUGUGGUCGAAGUAGAGUGAUCCUGUGCUGCCGAGAAAAGCCUCGACGUGAGGUCCAAGCCGCCCGUACCCUAAACCGACACAGGUAGUCGAGUAGAGUAUACUAAGGAGUUCGAGUGAAUCGUGGUUAAGGAACUCGGCAAAAUGCCCCCGUAACUUCGGGAGAAGGGGGGCCUGAUCCUUGAAGCACCUUGCGUGCUAGGGGUGAUGGCCGCAGAAACCAGGGAGAAGCGACUGUUUAUCAAAAACACAGGUCCGUGCGAACACGUAAGUGGAUGUAUACGGACUGACGCCUGCCCGGUGCUGGAAGGUUAAGAGGAUCGGUUAGCCACCUUGUGUGGCGAAGCUGAGAAUUUAAGCCCCAGUAAACGGCGGUGGUAACUAUAACCAUCCUAAGGUAGCGAAAUUCCUUGUCGGGUAAGUUCCGACCUGCACGAAUGGCGUAACGACUUCUCCACUGUCUCAACCGCGAACUCGGUGAAAUUGCAUUACGAGUAAAGAUGCUCGUUACGCGCAGCAGGACGGAAAGACCCCGGGACCUUUACUAUAGCUUGGUAUUGGUGUUUGGUACGGUUUGUGUAGGAUAGGUGGGAGACUGUGAAGCCGUGACGCUAGUUAUGGUGGAGUCAUUGUUGAAAUACCACUCUGAUCGUGCUGGAUGUCUAACCUCGGACCAUGAUCUGGUUCAGGGACAGUGCCUGGUGGGUAGUUUAACUGGGGCGGUUGCCUCCUAAAAUGUAACGGAGGCGCUCAAAGGUUCCCUCAGCCUGGUUGGUAAUCAGGUGUCGAGUGUAAGUGCACAAGGGAGCUUGACUGCGAGACUGACAAGUCGAGCAGGUACGAAAGUAGGAACUAGUGAUCCGGCGGUGGCUUGUGGAAGCGCCGUCGCUCAACGGAUAAAAGGUACCCCGGGGAUAACAGGCUGAUCCUGCCCAAGAGUUCAUAUCGACGGCAUGGUUUGGCACCUCGAUGUCGGCUCGUCGCAUCCUGGGGCUGGAGUAGGUCCCAAGGGUUGGGCUGUUCGCCCAUUAAAGCGGUACGCGAGCUGGGUUCAGAACGUCGUGAGACAGUUCGGUCCCUAUCCGCUGCGCGCGUUGGAAACGUGAGAAGGGCUGUCCCUAGUACGAGAGGACCGGGACGGACGAACCUCUGGUGUGCCAGUUGUACCGCCAGGUGCAUGGCUGGUUGGCUACGUUCGGAAAGGAUAACCGCUGAAAGCAUCUAAGCGGGAAGCCUGCUUCAAGAUAACGUUUCCCGAACACCCUUGGGUGUUGAGAGGUCCCCUAUAGACCAUGGGGUUGAUAGGCCAGACGUGGAAGCACUGUAAAGUGUGGAGCUGACUGGUACUAAUGGGCCGACCACUUAAAAAA